AGCUCCAAUAGCGUAUAUUAAAGUUGUUGCAGUUAAAAAGCUCGUAGUUGGAUUUGUGGUGUACAGUGGGUUCCAGGCACUUGUUGUCUGAGUAAUUUGCUGUUGCCAUCCUUGGGUGGAAUCUGUGUGGCAUUAGGUUGUCGUGCAGGGGAUGCCCAUCGUUUACUGUGAAAAAAUUAGAGUGUUCAAAGCAGGCUUAUGCCGUUGAAUAUAUUAGCAUGGAAUAAUGAGAUAGGACUUUUUUGCUAUUUUGUUGGUUUGCGCGAAGAGGUAAUGAUUAAUAGGGACAGUUGGGGGUAUUCGUAUUCCAUUGUCAGAGGUGAAAUUCUUGGAUUUCUGGAAGACGAACUACUGCGAAAGCAUUUACCAAGGAUGUUUUCAUUAAUCAAGAACGAAAGUA
rnacentral:rRNA from 1 species